rnacentral:rRNA from 1 species
GUUGAGAACCACUGCCUUAAAGGUACCAGAUUCCAUUUGAUCUUGGAAGCUAAGCAGGGUCUGCUUUGGUUAGUACCUGAAUAGGGGGCUGCCAACAAAUACCAGACACCGUAGACU